CUUCUGGCCAAUAUAAAAACACGCGAACCGUGACGUUUUUCUUGCCACGUAACCAGCUAUCAGAACUUCCAGUAUUUCUCCACCAGAGAUGUUACUUCCUUUUGGAGGCUUCACAAAUGUGGAAAAUCCGAAAUAAACCAUAACCGACGAGAUGGGUCAACGAUGUGUUCACAACUCACG